AUAAGAUUAAGUUAAUUUGACUGUAUGUUUUCAAAACAUUUAGUGGCUUGGUUAAGCUAUCUUAUG
rnacentral:tRNA from 1 species